rnacentral:rRNA from 1 species
GAUCAUGGCUCAGGAUGAACGCUAGCUACAGGCUUAACACAUGCAAGUCGAGGGGCAGCAGGACGAUAGCUUGCUAUUGUUGCUGGCGACCGGCGCACGGGUGAGUAACGCGUAUCCAACCUUCCCCUUAGUAGGGCAUAGCCCGGUGAAAAUCGGAUUAAUACCCUAUGUUGUGUCAUGAGGACAUCUGAAUAACACUAAAGAUUUAUCGCUAAGGGAUGGGGAUGCGUCCGAUUAGGUAGUCGGCGGGGUAACGGCCCACCGAGCCCUCGAUCGGUAGGGGUUCUGAGAGGAAGGUCCCCCUCACUGGUACUGAGACACGGACCAGACUCCUACGGGAGGCAGCAGUGAGGAAUAUUGGUCAAUGGGCGUAAGCCUGAACCAGCCAAGUAGCGUGCAGGAUGACGGCCCUAUGGGUUGUAAACUGCUUUUAUACGGGGAUAAAGUGAGGGACGUGUCCCUUAUUGUAGGUACCGUAUGAAUAAGGACCGGCUAAUUCCGUGCCAGCCGCAGC